UACGAAGGGGGCUAGCGUUGCUCGGAAUCACUGGGCGUAAAGCGCACGUAGGCGGCUUUUUAAGUCAGGGGUGAAAUCCUGGAGCUCAACUCCAGAACUGCCUUUGAUACUGGGAAGCUUGAGUCCGGGAGAGGUGAGUGGAACUCCGAGUGUAGAGGUGAAAUUCGUAGAUAUGGGGAGGAACACCGGUGGCGAAGGCGGCCACCUGGACGGUAACUGACGCUGAGGCGCGAAAGCGUGGGGAGCAAACAGG
rnacentral:rRNA from 1 species